rnacentral:rRNA from 1 species
AACGAACGCUGGCGGCAUGCCUAACACAUGCAAGUCGAACGAGACCUUCGGGUCUAGUGGCGCACGGGUGCGUAACGCGUGGGAAUCUGCCCUUGGGUUCGGAAUAACAGUUAGAAAUGACUGCUAAUACCGGAUAAUGUCUUCGGACCAAAGAUUUAUCGCCCAGGGAUGAGCCCGCGUAGGAUUAGCUAGUUGGUGAGGUAAAGGCUCACCAAGGCGACGAUCCUUAGCUGGUCUGAGAGGAUGAUCAGCCACACUGGGACUGAGACACGGCCCCAGACUCCUACGGGAGGCAGCAGUGGGGAAUAUUGGACAAUGGCGAAAGCCUGAUCCAGCAAUGCCGCGUGAGUGAUGAAGGCCUUAGGGUUGUAAAGCUCUUUUACCCGGGAUGAUAAUGACAGUACCGGGAGAAUAAGCCCCGGCUAACUCCGUGCCAGCAGCCGCGGUAA